AACGAACGCUGGCGGCAUGCCUAACACAUGCAAGUCGAACGAGACCUUCGGGUCUAGUGGCGCACGGGUGUGUAACGCGUGGGAACCUGCCCUUAGGUUCGGAAUAACUCCCCGGAUGGGGUGCUAAUACCGGACAAUGUCUUCGGACCAAAGAUUUAUUGCCCUUGGAUGGGCCCGCGUUGGAUUAGCUAGUUGGUAGGGUAAAAGCCUACCAAGGCGACGAUGCAUAGCUGGUCUGAGAGGAUGAUCAGCCACACUGGGACUGGGAAACGGCCCAGACUCCUACGGGAGGCGGCAGUGGGGAAUGUUGGACAGUGGGCGAAGGCAUGAUGCAGCAAUGCCGCGUGAGUGAUGAAGGCCUUAGGGUUGUAAAGCUCUUUUACCCGGGAUGAUAAUGACAGUACCGGGAGAAUAAGCUCCGGCUAACUCCGUG
rnacentral:rRNA from 1 species